AUUGAACGCUGGCGGCAGGCCUAACACAUGCAAGUCGAGCGAGCGGCGGACGGGUGUGUAAUGUAUGGAGCUCUGCCCGAUAGCGGGGGAUAACUACUGGAAACGGUGGCUAAUACCGCAACCUAUCGGAUGAAACAAUAUUGGAUUAGCUAGUAGUUAGGGUAAAGGCUCACCAAGGCGACGAUCUCUAGCGGGUCUGAGAGGAUGAUAGGACACACUGGGACUGAGACACGGCCCAGACUCCUACGGGAGGCAGCAGUGGGGAAUAGUGCACAAUGGGCGAAAGCCUGAUGCAGCCAUGCCGCGUGUAUGAAGAAGGCCUUAGGGUUGUAAAGUACUUUCAGCGGGGAGGCGUUACCUGUAGAAGAAGCCCCGGCUAACUCCGUGCCAGCAGCCGCGGUAAUAC
rnacentral:rRNA from 1 species